rnacentral:lncRNA from 1 species
CCCCCAACUAAAACCCUACCUAUCACAUAUCCUUUCUGCUCCCCCUGGAUGGUGAGGCCUUCCAUAGGAGGUCAUCAGAGUCUAUCAUAUCCUUUGGGAUAGGGCCUAGGCCCACCUCCAUGUGUCUUGGCUCAGGGAGUAUCCCACUAAGCGGAAUGGGCUCCCAAAGUCCACACCUAUGCUAGGGAUAAGUUCUGAACUACUACAGGAGGUCCCGUAGAUUUCCGAGGUUUCCUCAAUGAAACUCACAUUUCUGGGGUCUGGAUCAGUCCCAUGCUGGUAUCCCAGCUAUCAGUCUGGGGACCCAGAGCUUCCCGUUUUUCAGGUCAGCUGUUUCUGUGGGUUUCACCAGCCUGGUCUGGACUCCUUUGCCCAUCACUCAUCCUUCUCUGCAUCUGGAUUCCAGUUCAGUUCAGUGAUUAGUUGUGGGUGUCUGCUUCUACUUCCACCAGCUGCUGGAUGAAGGCUCGCUGGAGGCAGGUGUCUCAAAGAACAGCAAUCUUCGACAGGCCUAUAAGGUGAGAGGAUUUUUUCCUCUCUGUGGAAGAGGGACAUGGAAAAGACUGACCUUGUUUUGUCUAGGCAAAGGGGGUACAAUCAAUUUUCCAAUGUCCAGCAGCUUUGUCCACAGUCUCGGCUAGGUCCUGGCAGGCGGCAGUUAUCACAUCUGAGCAUCUCGCUCACUGGUCCACGUGCAGGAACUGAGGUGCCUCAUAAUCUUCUUUGGAGACUUUGGGUCACUGUCAGGAUCUGGCAGUCUGUCUGAUAUUAUAAAUUUUAAAGAUAAUAAUUUAAAUGCCAUAUUCUGAAGAUCUCUGAAGCAUUUGAGGUCUGUCUGUUUUAGUUACUUGCCUUAAGCAUACAAGAAGCAUACAGGUGGCUAGGUAAGGUCUUAUUUCUGUAAUUAAUGUUUAGCCUGACUGUAACUGGUUUUAACUUAGUAAAAUAUUUGAAACUUAGCACAGCUGAACUUAAAACUGCAUAGAGCUACCUUAUAUUCCUUAAACAGUAGCUACAUGUACAUAUUUUAGCUGCUUGCUCAAAUGAGACAGGGUUUUUCCGUGACUUUGGACCCUGUCCUGGAAUUCGAUCUGCCGGACCAGGCAGGCCUUGAACUCAUAAAGAUCCAUCGGCCUCUGCCUCCCGAGUGGUGGGAUUAAAGGCGAGUGCCACCAAUGUUCUAAACUUAAAGGCGUGUGCCACCUACACCCUGAGCUUAAAAGGUGUGUGCUACCAACACCCUAAACUUAACUUCUGAAAACACAAACUGUAACAUCUUAUAAUAGAUUAGCAUCUUUCAUAAAACAAGAACUUUACAUUGUCAGGCUUUGCUUAAAAAUAAUUCUAAAUUGAAGCUCCUUAAGUACAAACAUUAAUAAAAACAAACAUUUUAAAAAACUGGUUUUAAAAAGAAAUUUAAAUUCCCUUAAUGUCUUUCUGUAAUAUAUAGAAGCAUUAACAUUUUAAAUCUUAACUGAAAAACUUGUUUCUAAGAUGGUACCUCUAAUUUCCAUGUGGUCACCUUUAGUCAAGAUGGCGGUUUAAGUAUCCUUUUUUUUAACUUUAGUAAAAUGGUUACCAGUCAGCCAUGUGACCAGUUUGCCAUGUGGCUGGUUACAAAAUGGCCGUAACUUGCACCCUUUGCUUAACUACGUGCUUGUAAAAGAACUUAGGUUUAUACCAGGAAACAGAACAUUUUAAAACAAGUAUACAUAAUUACUUGAGAAAUAAACAGGACUUUUUAAAAACAGAAUUAGCUUAAUAUGGUUAAAAGUUUAACUUAUAUUACCAUUUUUAAAAUUUACUAUUUGUAGACAUGAGAAACCAUAGCACAGUUUACAUUUUUUCUCUUUUAACAGCCUUUUCUCUGACCUUCGACAACUUGCUUUAACUCUCUAUAACCUUUUUAUAUACUUUUAGUUCAUUCCUCUGACUUUCUUAGACAUUCUUAGACAAAUUUCCUUUUUUCCUUUCCCUCUUUAUUACUUAAGUCUCCUACAUUUUUCCUCAUUUCUCAGUCAACAUAAAAAUUUUUAUCAAUGUCCCUUUUAUAGUUCUUAAUAACUUUAAGGCCUUUUAUUUUUUUUUUUUUUAGAAGUCCGGAUCAGGCCAGAUAAGUUCAUACGCCUGAGCUCCAUGUGCUCAAGGCAGAGAGACCUGGGGUGGGGGUGCUGCUGGUAACCCCAGACCCUUGGCCAAUCCAGGGGUGGGAAAAAGAUCCCCUCAGCCCCCCUGCAUACCAUGUGUGUGGAGCACAGAGAAGGCCGGGCAGCCAGGCAGAUGGCGGCCUUGCAGCCAUGUUCCCUCAGAGCAGGGAAACUCCCUCGGCAAGCCAGGACCCAUAGCAGGACGGCAGCUGCGGCAGAAACAGCCCCACUUGGCAUGCCUCACAGACCCGCAGGUGGGGAUAGAAAGGGGGUGGUGUGGUGGAUCCUGAAUUGAAAACCAAUGAUGAUAACACAGAAUAGACAGGAAAGAACAGACACCAACCCAAUCUGCCAGCGCCAUGUAUAAGGCAAUGGUGCUGGGAAGACGGGCGGCAGAACCCGCAGGCUAAAUCACCGCUGAGGAGGAUCCAAGUCCUUGGCCUCCGUUCGUACCUCCUGGGUGUCCUCAGGGCAGCAAUCUGUGCUCCGGGCGAAUCUGCCGAUCACAGUUGAGGUGGCGCCACGUGCUCAGAGCAUCAAGAAAAGACCCCUGACCCAUGCAUGCCAUGUGUGUGGGCAGUAGGGACAGAAAGAAUGCUUAACAAACACACAACACAAAUAUGAAACGUGGACAGACAUUAGACAGGACAAACCGCGGCAAAGAAAUGGUGCCCCAAACCAAAAUUACAAACAACCCUUGGACUUUCGUCCAGGGCGGAACCAAGGGUUCCAGAAAUACAUCUAUUUCUGGGCCCACACGUCUGCUUACCCUAUGGUUCAAUUCAAAUAACCCUCGGACUUUUGUCCAGGGCGGGACUUCAAGGUCUCGAAAUACGUCUAUUUCCCCCUGAGGUCUGAUUUAUACAAAUAUGAGUACAAAUCACGAGUCCUGCGCAGGCUAAGAUCAACAAAACAGCAAAUUCAAGUGGCACCAAACCAACAAAAACAAGCAAAUAUGUAACAUUGAACAUAUAAGUUGCGAGCUCGAAUCAUCUUACCUCCAAGUUCGAAUCCACUCAGGUGAGGGGUGGUCGCAAGUCCCGGACAAGCCCCCAAAUGUUAGACCCCCCGGAAAACUCAAGUAUCCGGGAUCUCAGGCCACGACUUCGGUCACCCCAAUCACCAGGCGGAUUCGAGAGCUUGAUGCAAACUGCACGAGGCUUUAUUGUAAUUUAACGAGCUAACCCCAUGUUAGCUCGGGUCUUUCACCCACCCACCAUGGCAGAUGGCUAGCAAAAGAUGGCUCCUAGGGCCUCCCAAGAGAUCUUAUAGGACAGCGUAAGGGGAGUGUCUAGGGGUACGCAUAGGCUCACGAUUGGUGUGCCUCCAGGCUUGGAGGGCUUGCCCUGUGUUGAUUGGUCAACUGGUUGUUAUGGCCCAUAAGCCCUCCCAGGGUGGUUGCUAUGCUCUCUACAUCAUUGCUGUGAGCUUGUCC